GAUGAACGCUGGCGGCAUGCCUAAUACAUGCAAGUCGAACGAGAGGAAGGAAAGCUUGCUUUCCUGAAUCUAGUGGCGAACGGGUGAGUAACACGUAGGUAACCUGCCCAUGUGCCCGGGAUAACUUCUGGAAACGGAUGCUAAAACCGGAUAGGUAGCAGACAAGCAUUUGACUGCUAUUAAAGUGGCUAAGGCCAUGAACAUGGAUGGACCUGCGGUGCAUUAGCUAGUGGGUGAGGUAACGGCCCACCAAGGCGAUGAGGCAUAGCCGGCCUGAGAGGGCGGACGGCCACAUUGGGACUGAGACACGGCCCAAACUCCUACGGGAGGCAGCAGUAGGGAAUUUUCGUCAAUGGGGGGAACCCUGAACGAGCAAUGCCGCGUGAGUGAGGAAGGUCUUCGGAUCGUAAAGCUCUGUUGUAAGAGAAAAACGACAUUCAUAGGGAAUGAUGAGUGAGUGAUGGUAUCUUACCAGAAAGUCACGGCUAACUACGUGCCAGCCGCCGCCGUAA
rnacentral:rRNA from 1 species